GACGAACGUUGGCGGCGUGCUUAAUACAUGCAAGUCCACUGAAGCAGUGGUAGCAAUAUCGCUGUGGAGGUGGCGCACGGGUGAGUAACACGUAGGUAAUCUGCCUUCAGGUCUGGCAUAACUCCGGGAAACCGGGGCUAAUAGCAGAUGAUGCAGCGGCCCGACAUCGAGACAGUUGUUAAAGCUAUGGCGCCUGAAGAUGAGCCUGCGUCUGAUUAGCUAGUUGGCGGGGUAACGGCCCACCAAGGCAACGAUCAGUAGCUGGUCUGAGAGGAUGAUCAGCCACACUGGAACUGAGACACGGUCCAGACUCCUACGGGAGGCAGCAGUAAGGAAUAUUGCUCAAUGAGAGAAAUCCUGAAGCAGCAACGCCGCGUGAGGGACGAAGGGCUUUUGCUUGUAAACCUCUGUAGUGAGAGAAAAAAAUCCCAAUCUUUGGGACAUGAUGGUAGCUCAAAAGUAAGCCCCGGCUAACUACGUG
rnacentral:rRNA from 1 species